GUCUAUGUGUCUCUGUGGGUCUACAGGUCUAUGUGUGUCUGUGGGUCUACAGAUCUAUGUGUGUCUGUGGGUCUACAGGUCUAUGUGUGUCAGUCUGGCUCCACAGGUCUGUGUCUGUGGCUCUACAGGUCAAUGUGGGUCAAUGUGUGUCAGUCUGGCUCUACAGGUCUGUGUGCGUGUGUGUGUGCGUGUGUGUCUGCAGGGGUGCGUGUGUGUCUGCAGGGGUGCGUGUGUGUCUGCAGGGGUGCGUGUGUGUCUGCAGGGGUGCGUGUGUGUCUGCAGGGGUGCGCGCGUCUGCAGGUGUGCGCGCGUCUGCAGGUGUGCGCGCGUCUGCAGGUGUGUGCGCGCGUGUGCGCGUCUGCAGGUGUGUGCGCGCGUGUGCGCGUCUGCAGGUGUGUGCGCGCGUGUGCGCGUCUGCAGGUGUGUGCGCGCGUGUGUCUGUGUCUGUCUGUAAGUGUGUUUGUCCUGUUUCCAUGCCUGCCUGCCUGUCAGAUUGAAUAUAUGUGCUGUAUUCACACCUCACUAAUGAUGUCAUGUCCUCUUCUCCUGUCUCUCCCAAG
ensembl:lncRNA